CGUGGAUCGAUUUGUCUGGUUUAUUCCGAUAACGAGCGAGACUCUAGCCUACUAAAUAGUGGCGGGAUUAUUAGUGUCCCAGUCGCUUCUUAGAGGGAUUUUCGGUGUUUAGCCGCACGAGAUUGAGCAAUAACAGGUCUGCGAUGCCCUUAGAUGUCCGGGGCUGCACGCGCGCUACACUGGCAAAAUCAACGUGCUUGUCCUUCCCCGAAAGGGGCGGGUAAACCAUUGAAAAUUUGCCGUGAUUGGGAUCGGAAAUUGCAAUUAUUUUCCGUGAACGAGGAAUUCCAAGUAAGUGCGAGUCAUCAGCUCGCGUUGAAUACGUCCCUGCCCUUUGUAC
rnacentral:rRNA from 1 species